UUUGAACGCUGGCGGCAGGCCUAACACAUGCAAGUCGCACGAGUGGCGGACGGGUGAGUAAUGUCUGGGAAACUGCCUGAUGGAGGGGGAUAACUACUGGAAACGGUAGCUAAUACCGCAUACCAUCAGAUGUGCCCAGAUGGGAGUAGCUGGUUGGUGGGGUAAAGGCUCACCAAGGAGACGAUCCCUAGCUGGUCUGAGAGGAUGACCAUCCACACUGGAACUGAGACACGGUCCAGACUCCUACGGGAGGCAGCAGUGUGGAAUAUUUCACAAUGGGCGCAAUCCUGAUGCAGCCAUGCCGCGUGUAUGAAGAAGGCCUUCGGGUUGUAAAGUACUUUCAGCGGGUAGGCGUUACCCGCAGAAGAAGCACCGGCUAACGCCGUGCCAGCAGCCGCGGUAAUUC
rnacentral:rRNA from 1 species